rnacentral:rRNA from 1 species
AGUGAACGCUGGCGGUAGGCCUAACACAUGCAAGUCGAACGGCAGCACAGUAAGAGCUUGCUCUUACGGGUGGCGAGUGGCGGACGGGUGAGGAAUACAUCGGAAUCUACUUUUUCGUGGGGGAUAACGUAGGGAAACUUACGCUAAUACCGCAUACGACCUACGGGUGAAAGCAGGGGAUCUUCGGACCUUGCGCGAUUGUAUGAGCCGAUGUCGGAUUAGCUAGUUGGCGUGGUAAAGGCCCACCAAGGCGACGAUCCGUAGCUGAUCUGAGAGGAUGAUCAGCCACACUGGAACUGAGACACGGUCCAGACUCCUACGGGAGGCAGCAGUGGGGAAUAUUGGACAAUGGGCGCAAGCCUGAUCCAGCCAUACCGCGUGGGUGAAGAAGGCCUUCGGGUUGUAAAGCCCUUUUGUUGGGAAAGAAAAGCAGCAGGUGAAUACCCCGCUGUUCUGACGGUACCCAAAGAAUAAGCACCGGCUAACUUCGUG